GCUGCGGGGCCGCCCGGGGAGAGGGAACGGUUUCUUGCCUCGGGGCCCGGCCCGAGCCCAGCUGCGGGCGGCAGCGGCCCCGGCCCUUGUUCGGGGCUGCCCGCGGCGCCUCCGGGAGUAGGGCGGCACCAUCUGCCCCUCAGCUGCACCUGCCCGCCAGGUUCGAUCCCUCCCUGCAUCCAGGAACCGCGGUCGCCUUCGUGCUAAAUGAAGAAGAAACACGGGCACCUCCCCGAAAAAGCGAAGCACUCGUAACAACCGGUCACCUGUAGAACAGCACUUCCAGCCUAUUUCUCGAAGGCUUCCCGAAACUUGGUCCGCUAGCGAAGUGCAGACGCGUGAACUAGUUUAACCCUUGCUUGGAUUUACGUUAUCAGUUACCCGUUCGAGCGAGCUCACUACAGGCAGAGGUCAGAACUUAAUCUGAACCUUAACCUCAUCAAGGUUCUGGUUUUGUUUGAGCAUGUAAGACUCACAGAAUGUUACUCUUUGUUAUGGGUGUUAUGUGACUGUAGUGCUUCUCCAGUUUAUCACCAAUCUCCAUGCUUCACAAACCAUGGACAUCAGAAAGAGGUGCAAUAUGUGAACACCACACUACUUGCCACAUACUGAAGUAAGGUCUGUCUACCCUGACCUAAGUCAGCAGUACACCACUGCAGCAAGAAAGGCAAAUUGGAUCCUGGGCUGCAUCUGCAGGGACAUUACUGGCAGAGGCAGAGGUGUCACCAUCCCACUCUACUCAGUACUUGUCAGGCUGCACCAGGAGUACUGUGUCCUCCUCUGGUGGCCACCAUUCAAGAAACACAUAUACAGACCGGUGGCCAUGAGUCAAGAAACACAUAUACGGACUGCAGAGAGUCCCAAGGAGAGCCAUGAAGAUGGUCAAAGGGUUGGAAAACCUGUCCUGCGAGGAAAGAGGAGUUCAGUAUUUUCUACCUGGAGAAGGGGAACCUCAUCACUGUAUUCCAGUAUUUAAAGGACAGCUACAAAGGAGACAGAAGCUCUCACUUCACAAGUGGAGAAGACAAGGGGAAAGGGGUACAAGUUGCACCAGGAGAGGCUUCAUCUUGAUAUAAGAAGGGAUUUUUUUUUUUUUCAGUGAGAACCUGGAACAAUUCCGGGGUAGAAUCCCCAUCUCUGGAGGCUUUCAAGAUGUGACUGGACAGGGUGCUAGAUAAUCUCAUCUAGGUUCCCUUUUCCAUGAGAGGCUGGACCAGAUGACCUUCUGAUGUCCCAUCCAACUAGGACUAUUCCAUGAUUUUAUGACAUGCAUCACUGCUGUUCUUUACACUAGGGACUCCUUUCCUUCCUGACUCUUGGUCUUGCCACAAACCACAUUUUUAUCUUGCUCUUUGGACCAGUUCAUCCACUGGUUUUUAAUCCUGGAUUACCUUCACUGUGAUUCUCUCCAUUCUUGACCCCCGCCUGGCAAAGUUACUUUAAGAUAGCCUGCCUCAGUGUGCUCAGUCUGCAUUUAGAGGACUGAUUUUAUCUCUCCAGUCCUCACUCAGCUGAGUUCUAUAUUUAUUUAUGUCAGGAAUCUUCCAGAUCUUUUCCUGUACCAAAUGUACCCAUGCUCUUUGGUACUUACUCCUCCAUUUGCUAUCCAUCAGAUGAUGUAGAUGUCCCUUAUUUCUCCAACAGUGCCUAACAUCCUUCUGUUGAGCCAGGUUCUCUUUGUGUUCUUAGCCCUUAUCAGGGCUUCUGUGUGUCCUGCAUGCUCUUGGAUGAAGUUUUGACAUUAUUUUAGUCUUCUGCAUGACUCUUUAUUUUACUUUUCCUGUCAUGACCUUCACUGCUUUUUGUCCACAUUCCACAGGCACGGUGUGUCUUCUAUUCUUUGCUCACAAGAGUUUCCUGUUUCUUACCAUUUGCAAUACUAUGCCUCUACCUUUUUGUCUUUUUCUUCUGUUGAAAAGACUCACAGCCUACUAGAAUUUUAAACCUGUAUUUGGCAGAUCAACAGACCUAAAGCAUAGGAUAAUGUUCUGUUCAGAACUUAAAUUAUGAAGGGAGAAAUAAAUAGUGUCCUAUUUCAGUAUAACUCUGAAUGAUUCCCAUUUGUUCUUCUGUACAGAGAUUGCAGCUUUCAAACAGUAACUAAUGACUAAUGGCCUAAAUUGUAAAGACAUUUUUGGGCCAGUCCUGGGCCCAUCUCCUUCUUUGUGUAAAGCAAGAGUAGGAGGAAGAAAAGUAGACGUGACUGCUGUCUAGAGUAAUCCUAAGUAAAAGUAGCUGGGGCUCAUACAAAACAGAACCGUGGUUUUCCAGGUCCUGAAUUUGUUGGAGCAUGCUCCUGGGUAUUGCAUUCCCAUGAUCCGUAGAUGGCACAACAACAUAAUAGCAACCUUCAUCAGACAGCUAGAGCAGCCCUGAAGCUACUUUAACUUAGGUCUUUGUCUGAAUUGGGCCUUAGCAGUUACAUCCCACUUCAACCUGAAUCUUGCUAUGAGAGCAGCUCAGAAAGAACUGAAUUUUAAUUUAGUUUGGAACUUCUAUUAUUUUACAUAUUGUAGAUUUCCUCCAAGUUCAUUGUUUAAAAGGCCAAGUCUUAUAACUCCUUUAAGUGCUGUUAUUUUCAGAGCUGCACCAAAACUCAAACAAAAAUUAUUUUUUUCUAAGAGACAAAAUUUUCUUUGUAACUACUAGCUUUAAUGGAAAGAAAAAACAAACACCAAAAUAAGCCUUAUAAAGCUUUUUGUUCAACUCAAAUCAAAGAGCUGAGGAACAGUGCUGGCAAUCUAAGGAAGGGUCCAGGAACAGCAGUUUCCAAAACAUUAAGACAAAAAUCAAAACAAAAGGCAUUUUGCAACACCA